rnacentral:rRNA from 1 species
CUCAGGAUGAACGCUGGCGGCGUGCCUAACACAUGCAAGUCGAACGGGGUAUAUAAGCGGAAGUUUACGGAUGGAAGGUUAUAUGCUUAGUGGCGGACGGGUGAGUAACGCGUGGGCAACCUGCCCCGUGCCGGGGGAUACCGCCUGGAAACAGGCGCUAAUACCGCAUAAGCGCAUACAGCCGCAUGGGUGUAUGCGGAAAGCUCCGGCGGCACGGGAUGGGCCCGCGCCCGAUUAGCCAGUUGGCGGGGUAACGGCCCACCAAAGCGACGAUCGGUAGCCGGCCUGAGAGGGCGGACGGCCACAUUGGGACUGAGACACGGCCCAAACUCCUACGGGAGGCAGCAGUGGGGAAUAUUGCACAAUGGGGGAAACCCUGAUGCAGCAACGCCGCAUGGGUGAAGGAGCGUUUCGGCGCGUAAAGCCCUGUCAGCGGGGAAGAAGAAAGACGGUACCCGACCAAGAAGCCCCGGCUAACUACGUGCCAGCAGCCGCGGUAAUACGUAGGGGGCGAGCGUUAUCCGGAAUUACUGGGUGUAAAGGGAGCGUAGACGGCGAGGUAAGCCUGAAGUGGAAGCCCGCGGCCCAACCGCGGAACUGCUUUGGGAACUGUUUUGCUGGAGUAUGGGAGGGGUAAGCGGAAUUCCUGGUGUAGCGGUGAAAUGCGUAGAUAUCAGGAGGAACACCGGUGGCGAAAGCG